rnacentral:rRNA from 1 species
AUUUCGGUCCUGAGUAUAGUGGCGCACGGGUGAGUAACACGUGAAUAAUCUACCUCCGAGUGGGGAAUAACCAAGAGAAAUCUUGGCUAAUACCGCAUAACACUUACGAGUCAAAGCAGCAAUGCGCUUGGAGAGGAGUUCGCGGCAGAUUAGUUAGUUGGCGGGGUAAUGGCCCACCAAGACGAUGAUCUGUAUCCGGCCUGAGAGGGCGCACGGACACACUGGAACUGAAACACGGUCCAGACUCCUACGGGA